rnacentral:rRNA from 1 species
UACGGAGGGUGCAAGCGUUGUCCGGAAUUACUGGGCGUAAAGCGCGCGUAGGCGGCUUUGCAAGUCGGGUGUGAAAUCCCCAGGCUUAACCUGGGAACUGCAUUCGAGACUGCAUUGCUAGAGUAUGGGAGAGGGAAGUGGAAUUUCAGGUGUAGCGGUGAAAUGCGUAGAUAUCUGAAGGAACAUCAGUGGCGAAAGCGACUUCCUGGACCAAUACUGACGCUCAUGUGCGAAAGCGUGGGGAGCAAACAGG